rnacentral:rRNA from 1 species
CCGACGCUUCAUCGAGCGUGAAAUCGAGUAGGGCGGGACACGUGAUAUCCUGUCUGAAUAUGGGGGGACCAUCCUCCAAGGCUAAAUACUCCUGACUGACCGAUAGUGAACCAGUACCGUGAGGGAAAGGCGAAAAGAACCCCUGUGAGGGGAGUGAAAUAGAACCUGAAACCGUGUACGUACAAGCAGUAGGAGCACCUUCGUGGUGUGACUGCGUACCUUUUGUAUAAUGGGUCAGCGACUUAUAUUCAGUGGCAAGGUUAACCGUAUAGGGGAGCCGUAGCGAAAGCGAGUCUUAACUGGGCGCUCAGUCUCUGGAUAUAGACCCGAAACCGGG